rnacentral:tRNA from 1 species
CGGCGAGUGGGCGAUCGGUUCACCGCGGCCUGGGGUGCCGCGAUGGUCGGGACCGACACGAAGUUCAAGUCGGCGUCCGCUGCC